CGUUUUGUGGCUUAGUAGGUUAAAUCGCCGUUGUAGCGAAUACGCAGUCGUGGGUUCAAAUCCCACCUGAACGC
rnacentral:tRNA from 1 species